UGAACGCUGGCGGCGUGCCUAAUACAUGCACGUCGAGCGAACAGAUGAGGAGCUUGCUCCUCUGACGUUAGCGGCGGACGGGUGAGUAACACGUGGAUAACCUGCCUAUAAGACUGGGAUAACUUCGGGAAACCGGAGCUAAUACCGGAUAAUAUAUUGAACCGCAUGGUUCAAUAGUGAAAGACGGUUUUGCUGUCACUUAUAGAUGGAUCCGCGCCGCAUUAGCUAGUUGGUAAGGUAACGGCUUACCAAGGCAACGAUGCGUAGCCGACCUGAGAGGGUGAUCGGCCACACUGGAACUGAGACACGGUCCAGACUCCUACGGGAGGCAGCAGUAGGGAAUCUUCCGCAAUGGGCGAAAGCCUGACGGAGCAACGCCGCGUGAGUGAUGAAGGUCUUCGGAUCGUAAAACUCUGUUAUUAGGGAAGAACAAACGUGUAAGUAACUAUGCACGUCUUGACGGUACCUAAUCAGAAAGCCACGGCUAACUACGUG
rnacentral:rRNA from 1 species